UACGAAGGGGGGCUAGCGUUGUUCGGAAUUACUGGGCGUAAAGCGCGCGCAGGCGGUUCGAUAAGUUGGGGGUGAAAUCCCCCGGGCUCAACCCGGGGAAUGGCCUUCAAGACUGUCGAUCUAGAGGACGAGAGAGGUGAGUGGAAUUCCCAGUGUAGAGGUGAAAUUCGUAGAUAUUGGGGAAGAACACCGGUGGCGAAGGCGGCUCACUGGCUCGUUUCUGACGCUGAGGCGCGAAAGCGUGGGGAGCAAACAGG
rnacentral:rRNA from 1 species